UACAGAGGGUGCAAGCGUUAAUCGGAUUUACUGGGCGUAAAGCGCGCGUAGGCGGCUAAUUAAGUCAAGUGUGAAAUCCCCGAGCUUAACUUGGGAAUUGCAUUCGAUACUGGUUAGCUAGAGUGUGGGAGAGGAUGGUAGAAUUCCAGGUGUAGCGGUGAAAUGCGUAGAGAUCUGGAGGAAUACCGAUGGCGAAGGCAGCCAUCCUGGCCUAACACUGACGCUGAGGUGCGAAAGCAUGGGGAGCAAACAGG
rnacentral:rRNA from 1 species